rnacentral:rRNA from 1 species
GACGAACGCUGGCGGCGUGCUUAACACAUGCAAGUCGAACGGAAAGGCCUUUUCGGAGGUACUCGAGUGGCGCACGGGUGAGUAACACGUGGGUGAUCUGCCCUGCACUCUGGGAUAAGCCUGGGAAACUGGGUCUAAUACCGGAUAGGACCGCACUUUAGUGUGUGGUGGAAAGUUUUUUCGGUGUAGGAUGAGCCCGCGGCCUAUCAGCUUGUUGGUGGGGUAAUGGCCUACCAAGGCGGCGACGGGUAGCCGGACUGAGAGGUUGGUCGGCCACAUUGGGACUGAGAUACGGCCCAGACUCCUACGGGAGGCAGCAGUGGGGAAUAUUGCACAAUGGGCGCAAGCCUGAUGCAGCGACGCCGCGUGGGGGAUGACGGCCUUCGGGUUGUAAACUCCUUUCGCCAGGGACGAAGCGUUUUGUGACGGUACCUGGAGAAGAAGCACCGGCUAACUACGUG